rnacentral:lncRNA from 1 species
AGAGUAAUUUAUGGAAGUUGUCCUGCUAGUGGUCAUCAUCCAAUUCAUUGAGAACCUGAAUAGAACAAAAAACUGAAGAAGGACGGAUUUGUGUUCUUUCUGCCUGACUGCCUGAGUUGGGACAUCCAUUUCUCCUGCCCUUGAACUGGGAUUUACACCAUCAGCUCUCCUGGUUCUCAGGCCUACAGAUUCUGACUGAAACAACACCACCAGCUUUCCUAGGUCUCCAGCUUGCAGAGGACAGGUCAUGAGACUUCUCAGCCUCUAUAAUCAUGUGAAUAAA